AGUGAACGCUGGCGGCAGGCCUAACACAUGCAAGUCGAACGGCAGCACGGCAGUAGCAAUACUGUGGGUGGCGAGUGGCGGACGGGUGAGGAAUACAUCGGGAUCUACCCUGUUGUGGGGGAUAACGUAGGGAAACUUACGCUAAUACCGCAUAAGAACUGAGGUUGAAAGCGGCGGACCGCAAGGCGUCGCGCGAUUGGAUGAACCGAUGUCCGAUUAGCUAGUUGGCGGGGUAAAGGCCCACCAAGGCGACGAUCGGUAGCUGGUCUGAGAGGACGACCAGCCACACUGGAACUGAGACACGGUCCAGACUCCUACGGGAGGCAGCAGUGGGGAAUAUUGGACAAUGGGCGCAAGCCUGAUCCAGCCAUGCCGCGUGGGGUGAAGAAGGCC
rnacentral:rRNA from 1 species